GUCGAGCGAACAGAUAAGGAGCUUGCUCCUUUGACGUUAGCGGCGGACGGGUGAGUAACACGUGGAUAACCUACCUAUAAGACUGGGAUAACUUCGGGAAACCGGAGCUAAUACCGGAUAAGAUUUUGAACCGCAUGGUUCAAUAGUGAAAGACGGCCUUGCUGUCACUUAUAGAUGGAUCCGCGCCGUAUUAGCUAGUUGGUAAGGUAACGGCUUACCAAGGCAACGAUACGUAGCCGACCUGAGAGGGUGAUCGGCCACACUGGAACUGAGACACGGUCCAGACUCCUACGGGAGGCAGCAGUAGGGAAUCUUCCGCAAUGGGCGAAAGCCUGACGGAGCAACGCCGCGUGAGUGAUGAAGGUCUUCGGAUCGUAAAACUCUGUUAUCAGGGAAGAACAAACGUGUAAGUAACUGUGCACGUCUUGACGGUACCUGAUCAGAAAGCCACGGCUAACUACGUGCCAGCAGCCGCGGUAAUACGUAGGUGGCAAGCGUUAUCCGGAAUUAUUGGGCGUAAAGCGCGCGUAGGCGGUUUUUUAAGUCUGAUGUGAAAGCCCACGGCUCAACCGUGGAGGGUCAUUGGAAACUGGAAAACUUGAGUGCAGAAGAGGAAAGUGGAAUUCCAUGUGUAGCGGUGAAAUGCGCAGAGAUAUGGAGGAACACCAGUGGCGAAGGCGACUUUCUGGUCUGUAACUGACGCUGAUGUGCGAAAGCGUGGGGAUCAAACAGGAUUAGAUACCCUGGUAGUCCACGCCGUAAACGAUGAGUGCUAAGUGUUAGGGGGGUUUCCGCCCCUUAGUGCUGCAGCUAACGCAUUAAGCACUCCCGCCUGGGGAGUACGACCGCAAGGUUGAAACUCAAAGGAAUUGACGGGG
rnacentral:rRNA from 1 species